ensembl:lncRNA
AUGCCUCCAUCAAAGCGCAGAGUAAAGCUUCGUAGUGACACUGAGAUUCCCGUGAAACGAAAUACACCCCUGAAGGUAGCACCAAGGCAACGAUAUGUGUCUAAACCGGUGGUCUUCAUCAGACGUUGUGAUACAUUACUAGAGGAGCCUGAAGUGGUUGAUGGAAAUCAGCCUGCAGUUAAAACAGUAAACCCAGUAAAAGUUAGUGCUGCACCGCUUCACUGCAAACGCGUUCCAGGCAUAAGUACCCCUGCAAGUUAUGACGGCACAAGAACUUCCACACCUGUUACACCAGCCAAUAAACAACCUUAUCUAAAUAUGGAAGAGAUGAUCAUGCUAGAGGCUUUUAAAAGUGAAGAAACUCCAGGAAGUGUCACGUCUUACAGCACGGAGCCAACUUUCAACUCUGAUGAUGAUGAUGAGGAUGAUGAUGAUGACACUCCCUACUCAUCUUCCUCCACCUUGAGCAGCCUUCCCUCCCCAGAGAUCUUCAGAAAAGAAAGCAGCGCUUUUCCAAAUGAGGACGAGUUACUGGGUCUGCAUUUUCUGCAUGUUAAAAAUUCCACCUUGUUGGACGUUAGUCAUGCAGAGAACGUGCACACGCAUCAUCCAUCCAACAUUUCUGCCAUCUUAGAUGCCUCUACAAGUCUUGCUGCAAAGAACCAUGAGAUCAGCCAACCGAGAAGACCUGAAGAUAAAAGCAAACCACAAAUGGACUCAGAAAGUCGCUCGAAAGGGAAAGCUUCACCAAAACUCACUGGGAGAACGCAUGUUGUCCGUAAGAAGAAGGUUUGGUUUAAAAGUCCCAUCGCUGCUGAGAUUUCCAAAGCCAAACCUUUCACAUCCUCCACGUCAACACUUCAGAACACCAGUGAGUCAUCCAGCCCUCGUGGAAAAGUCACACCUGAUACGAAGAUCGGUUGUAAAACUAAAACAUCGCCUCAUUUGAUGACUCUGAAAAUACCUGUGAAAUCUGGUUCUGAGCAAGCCUUGUUCUUUGAUUUUGUCAGUAAUGAUGAAAGGGAAGCCUUUUUUAAGAAGAUGAGAGAAAGGUGUGCCAAACUCACAAGUUCUGUUUUCUUUCCUUUUGGACUAGGUGCACAAAAUAGCCUGUGAUAGCUAAAUACAUCUUGAUUUGUGAUUAAUUUUUUUGUCCUAUUGUCUAUCAUUUUGUGUAGGACACCUUUUCUGUUUGUCCCUUAACAGUAAACAUAUUUUACAGGGUGACGUGACUCUAAGGAAAUGAAUGGAGACAAACGUAUGUGUUAGUUUCAUCUAGAAGCUAAUCAGUUCUAUUUGCAUGGUUCAAGUUGGUAUGCUGCGGCUCAAUGAGAACAUUCAAAUGAAAAGAUGCUCUACCUUCACUUUUUACAUGCUAUCAAAAUUAUCAUUACAAAAAGUGACCACUAGGGGACACGCCUAGCUAUACUUUAGCACUAGUCCUGAAAAAGAGUUUAUUUGUGAUUUAUGUUUGUAAAAUACUCCGACCUAUUUGUACUUUUAUUUGGUGUUAAUUUAUGUAAAUGUUGCUCGUUUGUCUCUUACUCUUUACUUUAGCUGAAAAAAUAUGAAUGUAAAUUUUGAAAGUGUUUGUAAGGUUACUUUUUAGUGUUUAUGUGUAUAUUUAUUUAAAAUUGUACUUGUGUCUCAAAAUAUUGAUAAUAAAAGGAGGAAAUAAAACGUUUUUGUACAUUUUAUGCUAUUGCUAUUAGUGCAUUUUUCAUGUGCUGGCCUUUAACUGUGAGUUGCUGGUCGGUCGGAAUUAGCACACAUUUUUGUGAAUACAUUUCAUGCUGUCACGAUUCCGGUUCUAUGGCAAGCCAAAUGAGCAUUUAUUCUGAUAUCAGGAUAUCAGCCAGCAUUGUCAUGAACAUGUAAGCCAUUUCUGUCCACUAGUUAACUAGUUAGACAUGUUUGUGUCAACUAGUUAAAUAGUGACAGCCUAAAUGUCAACUAGUUAACUAGUAAGGCCUAAAUUCUCUCUAGUUAACUAGUUAAAAUGUUUCAUAUCUUACUAGUUAACUAGUAUUGCUCAGUGUGUUCACUAGUUAACUAGUGGACAGAUCAAUGUCCACUAGUUAACUAGUUAAAACACAUUUAGUUUUUACUAGUCAACUAGUAAGGUACAAAAACUCGUACUAGCUGACUACUGAAUGUAAAAAUCCCACUUGUUAACUUUGCCCAAUUUGGCCAGCCGCUUGAGCAUUAAUUCUGAUAUCUUGUCAACAGGUCAACUAGUUAACUAGUGAGGGUCAAACUGUACACGCUAGUUAACUAGUGAACACAUUUUGACCUUCACUAGUUAACUAGUUGACACAAAAAUGGCUCAUUAGUUAACUAGUAAAGGCCAAAAUGCAUACCAGUCAGCUAGUUGAAGGUAUUUGUGUCUCACUAGUUAACUAGUCAGGGUCAAAAUGAGCCCACCAGUUAACUAGUGGGAGACGGAAAUGUUCACUAGUUAACUAGUGAACACAUUUUGGCUUCACUAGUUAACUAGUUGUCACAUAAAUGGCUCACUAGUUAACUAGUAAAGGCCAAAAUGCAUACCAGUCAGCUAGUUGAAGGUUUUUGUGUCUCACUAGUUAACUAGU